UACGGAGGGGGCUAGCGUUGUUCGGAAUUACUGGGCGUAAAGCGCACGUAGGCGGCUUUGUAAGUUAGAGGUGAAAGCCCGGGGCUCAACUCCGGAAUUGCCUUUAAGACUGCAUCGCUAGAAUCGUGGAGAGGUGAGUGGAAUUCCGAGUGUAGAGGUGAAAUUCGUAGAUAUUCGGAAGAACACCAGUGGCGAAGGCGACUCACUGGACACGUACUGACGCUGAGGUGCGAAAGCGUGGGGAGCAAACAGG
rnacentral:rRNA from 1 species